rnacentral:rRNA from 1 species
GAGAAAGUGGAGCAAUCCAUGAGUACAGUGGCGCACGGGUGAGUAACACGUGAAUAAUCUACCUCCGAGUGGGGAAUAACUUAGGGAAACCUGAGCUAAUACCGCAUAACACUUACGAGUCAAAGCAGCAAUGCGCUUGGAGAGGAGUUCGCGGCAGAUUAGUUAGUUGGCGGGGUAAUGGCCCACCAAGGCGAUGAUCUGUAUCCGGCCUGAGAGGGCGCACGGACACACUGGAACUGAAACACGGUCCAGACUCCUACGGGAGGCAGCAGUGGGGAAUUUUGCGCAAUGGGGGAAACCCUGACGCAGCAACGCCGCGUGGAGGAUGAAAUCCCUUGGGAUGUAAACUCCUUUCGAUCGGGACGAUUAUGACGGUACCGGAAGAAGAAGCCCCGGCUAACUUCGUGCCAGCAGCCGCGGUAAUACGAGGGGGGCGAGCGUUGUUCGGAAUUAUUGGGCGUAAAGGGUGCGUAGGCGGUUUGAUAAGUCUGAUGUGAAAUCUAUGGGCUCAACCCAUAGUCUGCAUUAGAAACUGUCGGGCUUGAGUAUGGGAGAGGUGAGUGGAAUUUCCGGUGUAGCGGUGAAAUGCGUAGAUAUCGGA